rnacentral:misc_RNA from 1 species
GAUGAAGAACGUAGUGAAAUGCGAUAAGUAAUGUGAAUUGCAGAAUUCAGUGAAUCAUCGAAUCUUUGAACGCACAUUGCGCCCGCCAGUAUUCUGGCGGGCAUGCCUGUUCGAGCGUCAUUUCAACCAUCAAGCCCCCGGGCUUGUGUUGGGGACCUGCGGCUGCCGCAGGCCCUGAAAACCAGUGGCGGGCUCGCUAGUCACUCCGAGCGUAGUAGUUACAUCUCGCUCAGGGCGUGCUGCGGGUUCCGGCCGUUAAAAGCCUUUUACCCCAAGGUUGACCUCGGAUCAGGUAGGAAGACCCGCUGAACUUAAGCAUAUCAAUAAGCGGAGGA